rnacentral:rRNA from 1 species
AGUGAACGCUGGCGGUAGGCCUAACACAUGCAAGUCGAACGGCAGCACAGUAAGAGCUUGCUCUUACGGGUGGCGAGUGGCGGACGGGUGAGGAAUACAUCGGAAUCUACUUUUUCGUGGGGGAUAACGUAGGGAAACUUACGCUAAUACCGCAUACGGCCUACGGGUGAAAGCAGGGGAUCUUCGGACCUUGCGCGAUUGAAUGAGCCGAUGUCGGAUUAGCUAGUUGGCGGGGUAAAGGCCCACCAAGGCGACGAUCCGUAGCUGGUCUGAGAGGAUGAUCGGCCACACUGGAACUGAGACACGGUCCAGACUCCUACGGGAGGCAGCAGUGGGGAAUAUUGGACAAUGGGCGCAAGCCUGAUCCAGCCAUGCCGCGUGGGUGAAGAAGGCCUUCGGGUUGUAAAGCCCUUUUGUUGGGAAAGAAAAGCAGCAGGUUAAUACCCCGCUGUUCUGACGGUACCCAAAGAAUAAGCACCGGCUAACUUCGUG